UGUUGCUCAGUCUUUAGUUUUCUAUAUUGUGUUUUGUGCACUAUUGUUCGUCUGUUUGUCCUUGUCUUUUUUAGUCAUGGCGUAGUCAGUUUAUUUUCGACUUAUGAGUUUGAAUGUUACUCUGGUAUCUUUUGCCUCUCAUUUGAGGAACAGUCAAGUCUUGAAAUAAAUUUGCAUAUAGCUUUGUAAUUUUAUUUGCUACAAAGACUUUGAAAAAAUAUUGUUUUUUGUAAUGUACAGCUACAACUCUUUGUUUAAAGGUUCAAC
rnacentral:lncRNA from 1 species